AAUGAACGCUGGCGGCAUGCCUAACACAUGCAAGUCGAACGGCAGCACGAUGAGCGUUCGCCUCUAACGGUGGCGUGGGGCGGGUGAGUGACAUGUACAUAACCUUCCUCUUUUGCGGGGGGUACUGCGGAGAAAAAUAUACGAUAACAGCGAAUACGUUGAACCGGAGAGAGCAGUAGUUAUAGGCAUUUUGCCCGACUCUAGGAGGCGAUGUCGGAUUAGCUAGUUGGCGAGGUAAGGGCUCACCAAGGCCACGAUCCGUAGCGGGUCUGAGAGGAUGAUCGGCCACACUGGAACUGAGACACGGUCCAGACUCCUACGGGAGGCAGCAGUGGGGAAUAUUGGGCAAUGGGCGCAAGCCUGAUCCAGCCAUGCCGCGUGAGUGAAGAAGGCCUUCGGGUUGUAAAGCUCUUUUGUUAGGGAAGAAAAAAUGCGGGAUAAUACAUGGACGUUUUGACGGUACCUAAACAAAAAGCACCGGCUAACUACGUG
rnacentral:rRNA from 1 species